GAAGAAGGCGGGCGGCGUGCUUAACACAUGCAAGUCGAACGGAAAGGCCCUGCUUUUGUGGGGUGCUCGAGUGGCGAACGGGUGAGUAACACGUGAGUAACCUGCCCUUGACUUUGGGAUAACUUCAGGAAACUGGGGCUAAUACCGGAUAGGAGCUCCUGCUGCAUGGUGGGGGUUGGAAAGUUUCGGCGGUUGGGGAUGGACUCGCGGCUUAUCAGCUUGUUGGUGGGGUAGUGGCUUACCAAGGCUUUGACGGGUAGCCGGCCUGAGAGGGUGACCGGCCACAUUGGGACUGAGAUACGGCCCAGACUCCUACGGGAGGCAGCAGUGGGGAAUAUUGCACAAUGGGCGGAAGCCUGAUGCAGCAACGCCGCGUGCGGGAUGACGGCCUUCGGGUUGUAAACCGCUUUCGCCUGUGACAAAGCGUGAGUGACGGUAAUGGGUAAAGAAGCACCGGCUAACUACGUG
rnacentral:rRNA from 1 species